UAAUCAAGGGCAGGUUAGUGGGACCCAGUGGGCUUUAUGCAAGAGGGAAUGUUGAAAAAGCUCUAGUGCUUCUGCACAUCCUUAUGUCAAAUCCUCCCUACCUGAGGUGUCUGAGGCAAGCCCAGGGAAGACAGAAACUUGGGUAGCAUAAAGGGCAAAAGUACACUUAAUCUUGUUUUUCAGAAGGAAUACAGGCCAUGCUAGUGUGGUCUCAGGAUCUUCUGACUUUCUAGGUUUUAAGCAAAAGAUGUCAGAAAAGUUACCACAGAGAAAACCAUCUCGUGGCAGUCAAGUAUUAGCAAAGUUACUUCAGCCCUUUGAUGUCGGCUUUUCCUGUCACAAAACAGAAUUUACCAAGUGUUGGUUGGUUCAUCCAUUAACAACGAACACGAGCAGGGUUUAGACUGCCAUGAGACAAGUUAGUUUUACCCUCCUGAUGAUGUUACAAACACAACCCUGCUCAGUACGAGGGAUACCACACGUUCAGGUACCUGGUGAGAAGCCAAUGGGCCAAAGCUACCAUCUCCAGGAUUAUGGCACCUCCCUGUGUGAAUGGAUGCCCGUUGCCAAAAGGGCUGAUAUGGUGAUGAAAGCUGUCAGGCUCAGGACCAGAGUGGCUGCAGAAAGGAGCUGCUGCCAACUGCAGUCUGCUGUGAGGUCUUGAGGGGAACAGGUUGCUACAGCCUACCUCAGUGGGCUUUUCCUUCUGACCCAAAAUCC
rnacentral:ncRNA from 1 species